rnacentral:rRNA from 1 species
UACGGAGGGUGCAAGCGUUAUCCGGAUUCACUGGGUUUAAAGGGUGCGUAGGCGGGUUGUUAAGUCAGUGGUGAAAUCUCAGAGCUUAACUCUGAAACUGCCAUUGAUACUAAUGAUCUUGAAUAUUGUGGAGGUAAGCGGAAUAUGUCAUGUAGCGGUGAAAUGCUUAGAUAUGACAUAGAACACCGAUUGCGAAGGCAGCUUGCUACACACAUAUUGACGCUGAGGCACGAAAGCGUGGGGAUCAAACAGG